AGCUUCAAUAGUGUAUAUUAAAGUUGUUGCGGUUAAAAAGCUCGUAGUUGAAUUUAUGCCAAGGCAAGCUGGUCCACCCUCUGGGUGCGCAUCUGGUUUGGCUGGAGCAUAUUCCUGGGUUGCGCUGCUGCACUUGACUGUGUGGCGCGAGGUCCAGGACUUUUACCUUGAGGAAAUUAGAGUGUUUCAAGCAGGCCCACGCCUUGAAUAUUUUAGCAUGGAAUAAUAAUAUAGGGCCUUGGCUCUGUCGUGUUGGUUCCUGGAGCUAGGGUAAUGAUAAUCAGGGAUAGUUGGGGGCCUACGAAUUCAACUGUCAGAGGUGAAAUUCUUGAAUUUGUUGAGGGCGAUCUACUGCGAAAGCAUUUGCCAAGAAUGUUUUCAUUG
rnacentral:rRNA from 1 species